UACACUGACAGAAUAAAGACACUCUUAGUUUUAGAACAUGGCUAUCACCAGACACAGUCUGCUCAGCUUGGUGGUAUCUGUGCUCUGGAUUAAAGGUGGUGCUGAUGGAAGUGAUGUCCAGCAGACACCCAUACUGUGGGAAAGGGAGGGUAAAAGUGCAACGAUGCAGUGUAAUCACACGAAGGGUAGUGACUAUCUUUGGAUGUACUGGUUCAGACAGCUGCCUGGAGAAAAACUAACACUAAUUGUGUUUGCAACAACGGGCAAAACAGAUAAUGAGCAUGACUAUGGAGAUUUCAGCACAGGGAAAUUUUCAGCCAGCAAGACUGUUGCUGAGAGUGGGACAUUCACAGUGAAUAAACUGGAGCCAAAAGACCAAGGAUGGUAUUUCUGUGCUGUGAGUAAACACAAUGAUACAAACAGAGCAGAGAGCUGAACAAAAACCUCUGGGCAAAGUUCCCAUUACCUGCUCUACUGUAGGGAAACCUCAAGUACAACCACACACAUUCUUACUAUAAUCUGAUGCACUCAAAUAUAUCUGCAGUAACGUCAGUUACUGUCACUCACACCGGCAGAUUGUGGUCUUGGAUUUUAUUUAGCUAAGAACACAAUAAUAAUC